AUUGAACGCUGGCGGCAUGCCUUACACAUGCAAGUCGAACGGCAGCACGGGAGCAAUCCUGGUGGCGAGUGGCGAACGGGUGAGUAAUAUAUCGGAACGUGCCCAGUCGUGGGGAUAACGUAGCGAAAGCUACGCUAAUACCGCAUACGAUCUAUGGAUGAAAGCGGGGGAUCGCAAGACCUCGCGCGAUUGGAGCGGCCGAUAUCAGAUUAGGUAGUUGGUGAGGUAAAGGCUCGCCAAGCCGACGAUCUGUAGCUGGUCUGAGAGGACGACCAGCCACACUGGGACUGAGACACGGGCCCCAGACUCCUACGGGAGGCAGCAGUGGGGAAUUUUUGGGACAAUUGGGCGCAAGCCUGAUCCAGCAAUGCCGCGUGCAGGAUGAAGGCCUCGGUUGUAACGUAGC
rnacentral:rRNA from 1 species